CAAACCGUCCUUUUCAGGACGACCAAAUUAUUACCAAAGAAUUUAA
rfam:Drosophila simulans chromosome X, whole genome shotgun sequence.